AAUGAACGCUGGCGGCGUGCUUAACACAUGCAAGUCGAACGAGAAAGCCUGCUUUCGGGCGGGCGAGUAUAGUGGCGCACGGGUGAGUAACGCGUAGGUAACCUACCCUCGGUCCCGGGAUAACAGUUCGAAAGGGCUGCUAAUACCGGAUACGACCUCGAAUGCGUGAGCAUAGAGGUGAAAGUCAGCCUCCCGAAGAAGCUGAUGUUCGAGGCUGGGACUGCGUCCUAUCAGCUAGUUGGUAGGGUAACGGCCUACCAAGGCGACGACGGGUAGCUGGUCUGAGAGGAUGAUCAGCCACACUGGCACUGGAACACGGGCCAGACUCCUACGGGAGGCAGCAGUGAGGAAUUUUGCGCAAUGGGCGAAAGCCUGACGCAGCGACGCCGCAUGGGGGAUGAAGGUCUUCGGAUUGUAAACCCCUUUUGGGAGGGAAAAUGGGACGGGCAACCGUCCGGAUGGUACCUCCAGAAAAAGCCACGGCUAACUUCGUGCCAGCCGCCGCUGUAACAC
rnacentral:rRNA from 1 species